ACCGGGCCCUACGGGGCGCAGCAGGCGCGAAACCUUUACACUGCACGCCAGUGCGAUAAGGGGACCCCGAGUGCGAGGGCAUACAGUCCUCGCUUUUCGUGACCGUAAGAAGGUCUCAGAAUAAGAGCUGGGCAAGACCGGUGCCAGCCGCCGCGGUAAUACCGGCAGCUCGAGUGAUAGCCACUAUUAUUGGGCCUAAAGCGUCCGUAGCCGGCCGAACAGGUCCGUCGGGAAAUCCACCCGCUCAACGGGUGGACGUCCGGCGGAAACCAGUCGGCUUGGGGCCGGGAGACCAGAGAGGUACGUCCGGGGUAGGAGUGAAAUCCUGUAAUCCUGGACGGACCGCCGGUAGCGAAAGCGUCUCUGGAGAACGGACCCGACGGUGAGGGACGAAAGCUUGGGUCUCGAACCGGAUUAGAUACCCGGGUAGUCCAAGCUGUAAACGAUGCUCGCUAGGUGUGGCGUUGGCUACGAGCCAGCGCUGUGCUGUAGGGAAGCCGAGAAGCGAGCCGCCUGGGAAGUACGUCCGCAAGGAUGAAACUUAAAGGAAUUGGCGGGGGAGCACUACAACCGGAGGAGCCUGCGGUUUAAUUGGACUCAACGCCGGACAUCUCACCGGCACCGACAGUGUGCAGUGACAGUCAGUCUGAUGGGCUUACUUGAGCCACUGAGAGGAGGUGCAUGGCCGCCGUCAGCUCGUACCGUGAGGCGUCCUGUUAAGUCAGGCAACGAGCGAGACCCGCGUCCUUAAUUGCCAGCAGCAGCCUUGUGCUGGCUGGGUACAUUAAGGAGACUGCCGUCGCUAAGACGGAGGAAGGAACGGGCAACGGUAGGUCAGUAUGCCCCGAAUGUGCCGGGCGACACGCGGGCUACAAUGGCCGAGACAGUGGGACGCUACCCCGAGAGGGGACGCUAAUCUCCUAACCUCGGUCGU
rnacentral:rRNA from 1 species